GUGGGGAAUCUUGCGCAAUGGGCGAAAGCCUGACGCAGCCAUGCCGCGUGAAUGAUGAAGGUCUUAGGAUUGUAAAAUUCUUUCACCGGGGACGAUAAUGACGGUACCCGGUGAAGAAGCUCCGGCUAACUUCGUGCCAGCAGCAGCGGUAAUACGAAGGGGGCUAGCGUUGCUCGGAAUUACUGGGCGCAAAGGGCGCGCAGGCUGACUGCUCAGUCAGAGGUGAAAGCCCAGGGCUCAACCUUGGAAUUGACUUUGAUACUGGCUGUCUUGAGUUUGGAAGAGGUGAGUGGAACUCCGAGUGUAGAGGUGAAAUGCGUAGAUAUUCGGAAGAACGCCAGUGGCGAAGGCGACUCACUGGCCCAAUACUGACGCUGAGGCGCGAAAGCGUGGGGAGCAAACAGGAUUAGAAACCCCAGUAGUCC
rnacentral:rRNA from 1 species